CCCUUAGAUGUUCUGGGCCGCACGCGCGCUACACUGAUGCAUUCAACGAGCCUAUCCUUGACCGACAGGUCCGGGUAAUCUUUGAAUCUGCAUCGUGACGGGGAUAGAUUAUUGCAAUUUUUAAUCUUCAACGAGGAAUGCCUAGUAGGCGCAAGUCAUCAGCUUGCGUCGAUUACGUCCCUGCCCUUUGUACACACCGCCCGUCGCUCCUACCGAUUGGGUGUGCUGGUGAAAUGUUCGGAUCGGCCGUUUGUCGCGGUUUCCGCGGCUCGUGGCUGAGAAGUUCAUUAAACCCUCCCACCUAGAGGAAGGAGAAGUCGUAACA
rnacentral:rRNA from 1 species